rnacentral:rRNA from 1 species
UGGGGAAUAUUGGACAAUGGGGGCAACCCUGAUCCAGCGAUGCCGCGUGUGUGAAGAAGGCCUGCGGGUUGUAAAGCACUUUAGUUGGGGAGGAAAGGUAUGUACUGCAUAAGUGCAUGCUGUGACGUUACCCAAAGAAUAAGCACCGGCAAACUCUGUGCCAGCAGCCGCGGUAAUACAGAGGGUGCAAGCGUUAAUCGGACUUACUGGGCGUAAAGGGUGCGUAGGCGGUUAAAUAAGUUAGAUGUGAAAUCCCCGGGCUUAACCUGGGAAUUGCAUUUAAUACUGUAUGACUAGAGUAGAGUAGAGGGAAGUGGAAUUUCCGGUGUAGCGGUGAAAUGCGUAGAUAUCGGAAAGACAUCAGUGGCGAAGGCGGCUUCCUGGACUCAUACUGACGCUGAGGCACGAAAGCAUGGGGGAG